GGGAGGGGAAGGACGGCUCUCGGGGUACUCCUGAGGAAGGUCCUCCCACGUCAGGCAGUCCAGCCUUCGGGCCGGGGCGAGAGUCCCGCGUCCGGGAGCAGAAACGAAACGUUCCCGUCGCCAUCCAACGCAUGAUCCCUCGCGGGUGACGGGUGGCGGGUACGGUGAAACGGCCCGGUCGUGGAUAAGUGCAAGCUCCCGCACCAACGGGGUAGCCUGACCCCGGCGGGGUAAAGCGCUCAGCUGAAUGCCGUCUAGAACAGAAGGAGGCCUACUCUCCCCACCC
rnacentral:RNase_P_RNA from 1 species